UUGUUAGGGAAGUAGUAACUUUUCAGGGUUUUCUUUUCUUUAUAUGGGCCAACCAAACAGAAAUAAUUUUGGAGAUUUAAUCGGUUCUCACAUGUCAUUAAUCCUUAUACCAAACACACGAACUCAUAUCCAAGCAGGACUGUAACGAACUGUUUGGGAAAGACCAGAGCUGAAGAAGGGGCAUCUGUUUGAAGGAUGGACUGAAGGGGUCAUCAACUUUUGGGUGCUAUUAAAGUGUCCAUAUACCAAACACAGUUUUGCUUUAUAUGUUGUCACCUGACCUAUGGAGAAAAGGAAGGAGAUGAACUAAAAAGGAAUGCUGAUGUUCAAGAAAUCCACCGAAGGACAAUAUUUAAUCCAGUUUCGAGAGUCAACAUGCCUAAAACGAUAUAUGAUCAUGAAAGGAAUGUAUGGCUAGGUGAUCUCAACUAUAGGAUCAACUUACCAUAUGAGAAGACACACGAACUCAUAUCCAAGCAGGAUUGGAACGAAUUGUUUGGGAAAGACCAGGUAGGCUUUUA